UGGUCUCUAAGUUCAUUUUGCUCAGAACACAAUAAUGAUCUCAGCUGGUCUGAUCAAAGUCUCUGCAGCUCUGCUCUGUGUUGUAGGUCUAAGUGAUGGCAAUGAUGUCAAUCAGACUCCUCUGUUGUGGAGCACUGAGAGUCAGUCUGCAACAAUGAACUGCAGUCACACUAAGGGCAGUUCAUAUCGACAGAUGUACUGGUACAGACAGCUGCCAGGAGAGACAAUGAAGCAAAUAGUUUACACAACAGCAUACAGCCCUCAUGAGUAUCAAAGUGGCUUCAGUGAGGACAAAUUUCCAGCAAAGAAGAACGACGCUGAGACUGGAUCUUUGACUGUUAAGAAGCUGCUGCAUAAUGACAGUGGAGUGUAUUUCUGUGCUGUGAGUGAACACAGUGAGACAGGUGAUUUAGACAGCUGUACAAAUACUCAACUAGUGGUGUCACAGAGAAUAGAAGAUAACAAUCCCUUUAAUGAACUGUAGAGGGAACCAUACACAAAUGGUCCCACUUAUCAUUGGACCAUGAGAGAGAACUAUGAGCCUUUUAAACUUACAUUCAAUUUCAUAUUAAUUGUCCUGUGCAGUACUGAAGUAUGACUAUCAUGGUAACUUAUUUCUCUCCGUGCAUUAGAAACAGUCUCGAAAAAGAUCUAAAAAUAAACAACAGCAAAUAAACUGUGAUUUUACUUACAUUUUUGUUAGGGAGUUGCAAUUGUGUGACUUUUUUCUACAAGCAGAAAUGUUUUUUCUUAAUUAACAUGUCAAAAUUCAUUCCUUUUGAAUGUGUGAAAAUCUGCUCCUCGUGAAAUAUUCUACACCACUUAUUUGAAGGGUUUUGUUUAUUUUCCCAUUUGUUGUUCUACUGUUGGUUCUUAAAGAAUUUUACAUUUGAUUUUACUUAACAUUAAAAUAUAUCAAGUUCAA